GAUCAAUCCGAUACCGGCAAUUCUUGCGGAGACCUUAUUAACCCUUACCUACUGCAGACAACAGGGCAAAGGGUCCAUUAAGUGUUGUUCUCAAUUGUUAUACCUCUGGAUUAUCAGUCACAUGUGUCCUGUGGAGACAAAAGGAUUAACUUGGUACCUUGACCAGCCCCCCAUCGAGAAGAUGACCCGGUUGGUAAUCAGUCCGAAGAAUGAACAG
rnacentral:misc_RNA from 1 species